ACCUGAGAUCGGGUAGGGAUACCCGCUGAACUUA
rnacentral:rRNA from 1 species